UUUGAGUGGCGAACGGGUGAGUAAUGUGUAGGAAUCUGCCGAAUAGUGGGGGAUAACUUAAGGAAACUUAAGCUAAUACCGCGUAAUAAUCGAUUCGAUUUAUAGAUGGGGAUACUUUUUAGUACCUGUCGCUAUCCGAUGAGCCUACAUUAGAUUAGCUUGUUGGUGAGGUAAAGGCUCACCAAGGCAACGAUCUAUAGCUGGUUUGAGAGAAUGAUCAGCCACACUGGGACUGAGACACGGCCCAGACUCCUACGGGAGGCAGCAGUGGGGAAUAUUGCACAAUGGGCGCAAGCCUGAUGCAGCCAUGCCGCGUGUGUGAAGAAGGCCUUCGGGUUGUAAAGCACUUUCAGUAGAGAAGAAAUCCUUAAAGCCAAUACCUUUAAGUGUUGACGUUAUCUACAGAAGAAGCACUGGCUAACUCUGUGCCAGCAGCCGCGGUAAUACAGAGGG
rnacentral:rRNA from 1 species